AGUGAACGCUGGCGGUAGGCCUAACACAUGCAAGUCGAACGGCAGCACAGUAAGAGCUUGCUCUUACGGGUGGCGAGUGGCGGACGGGUGAGGAAUACAUCGGAAUCUACUUUUUCGUGGGGGAUAACGUAGGGAGACUUACGCUAAUACCGCAUACGACCUACGGGUGAAAGCAGGGGAUCUUCGGACCUUGCGCGAUUGAAUGAGCCGAUGUCGGAUUAGCUAGUUGGCGGGGUAAAGGCCCACCAAGGCGACGAUCCGUAGCUGGUCUGAGAGGAUGAUCAGCCACACUGGAACUGAGACACGGUCCAGACUCCUACGGGAGGCAGCAGUGGGGAAUAUUGGACAAUGGGCGCAAGCCUGAUCCAGCCAUACCGCGUGGGUGAAGAAGGCCUUCUGGUUGUAAAGCCCUUUUGUUGGGAAAGAAAAGCAGCAGGUUAAUACCCCGCUGUUCUGACGGUACCCAAAGAAUAAGCACCGGCUAACUUCGUG
rnacentral:rRNA from 1 species